AGUUUGAUCCUGGCUCAGAACGAACGCUGGCGGCAUGCCUAACACAUGUAAGUCGAACGAUGCUUUCGGGCAUAGUGGCGCACGGGUGCGUAACGCGUGGGAAUCUGCCCUUGGGUCUGGGAUAACAGUUGGAAACGACUGCUAAUACCGGAUGAUAUCGCGAGAUCAAAGAUUUAUCGCCCGAGGAUGAGCCCGCGUCAGAUUAGCUAGUUGGUGGGGUAAAGGCCUACCAAGGCGACGAUCUGUAGCUGGUCUGAGAGGGUGACCGGCCACACUGGGACUGAGACACGGCCCAGACUCCUACGGGAGGCAGCAGUGGGGAAUAUUGCACAAUGGGCGCAAGCCUGAUGCAGCGACGCCGCGUGAGGGAUGACGGCCUUCGGGUUGUAAACCUCUUUCAGUAGGGAAGAAGCGAAAGUAACGGUACCUGCAGAAAAAGCGCCGGCUAACUACGUGCCAGCAGCCGCGGUAA
rnacentral:rRNA from 1 species